GAUGAACGCUAGCGGCAGGCCUAACACAUGCAAGUCGAACGGUAACAGGAAUUAGCUUGCUAAUUUGCUGACGAGUGGCGCACGGGUGCGUAACGCGUAUAGAACCUACCUUUUACAGAGGGAUACCCCAUGGAAACGUGGACUAAUACCUCAUGGUAUUAUUGAAUGGCAUCAUUUAAUAAUUAAAGAUUUAUGCGCUGGAGGAGAACUUUGCGUCCCAUUAGGUAGUUGGUAGGGUAAUGGCCUACCAAGCCAACGAUGGGUAGCCGGCCUGAGAGGGUGAACGGCCACAAGGGGACUGAGACACGGCCCUU
rnacentral:rRNA from 1 species